AAAGGCGCAAUGAAAGUGAAGGUCCGCCUUGCGCGGACCUAGGGAGGAUGGGUCCGUUCUCGAACGGGCCCCGCACUCCCGGGGCGUCUCGUUCUCAUCGCGAGAUGAGGCGCACCUAGAGCGUACACGCUGGGACCCGAAAGAUGGUGAACUAUGCCUGGUCAGGACGAAGUCAGGGGAAACCCUGAUGGAGGUCCGUAGCGAUUCUGACGUGCAAAUCGAUCGUCGGAACUGGGUAUAGGGGCGAAAGACUAAUCGAACCUUCUAGUAGCUGGUUCCCUCCGAAGUUUCCCUCAGGAUAGCUGGCGCUCGCAUUGCGAGUCUCAUUCGGUAAAGCGAAUGAUUAGAGGCAUUGGGGUCGAAACGGCCUCAACCUAUUCUCAAACUUUAAAUGGGUGAGAUCUCCGGCUUGCUUAAAGCGUGAAGCCGCGAGACUCGGAUCAAUGAGUGCCAAGUGGGCCACUUUUGGUAAGCAGAACUGGCGCUGUGGGAUGAACCAAACGCCGAGUUAAAGCGCCAAAAUCGACGCUUAUGGGA
rnacentral:rRNA from 1 species